UGAUGCAGCGACGCCGCGUGAGGGAUGAAGGCCUUCGGGUUGUAAACCUCUUUCAGUAGGGAAGAAGCUGGUCCUUCGGGGUUGGUGACGGUACCUGCAGAAGAAGCGCCGGCUAACUACGUGCCAGCAGCCGCGGUAAUACGUAGGGCGCAAGCGUUAUCCGGAAUUAUUGGGCGUAAAGAGCUCGUAGGCGGUUUGUCGCGUCUGCCGUGAAAGUCCGGGGCUUAACCCCGGAUCUGCGGUGGGUACGGGCAGACUAGAGUGCAGUAGGGGAGACUGGAAUUCCUGGUGUAGCGGUGAAAUGCGCAGAUAUCAGGAGGAACACCGAUGGCGAAGGCAGGUCUCUGGGCUGUAACUGACGCUGAGGAGCGAAAGCAUGGGGAGCGAACAGGAUUAGAUACCCUGGUAGUCCAUGCCGUAAACGUUGGGCACUAGGUGUGGGGGACAUUCCACGUUUUCCGCGCCGUAGCUAACGCAUUAAGUGCCCCGCCUGGGGAGUACGGCCGCAAGGCUAAAACU
rnacentral:rRNA from 1 species